GGGCCCGUGGCGGAAUUGGCAGACGCGCAUGCUUGAGGGGCAUGUGCCCGCAAGGGCGUGCUGGUUCGACUCCAGUCGGGCCCAC
rnacentral:tRNA from 1 species